rnacentral:rRNA from 1 species
GACGAACGCUGGCGGCGUGCUUAACACAUGCAAGUCGAACGAAGUGGGAACGGGUGAGUAAUACGUGGGUAACCUCCCUCCUUUUUGGGAUAAGCCUUGGAAACGGGGUCUAAACCGAAUAGAUGGGCUCGCGGCCUAUCAGCUUGUUGGUGGGGUGAUGGCCUACCAAGGCGGGGACGGUUAGCCGGCCUGAGAGGGUGAUCGGCACGCUGGGGAUGGGGACACGUCCCAGACGCCUACGGGGGGCAGCAGGAGGGAAUCUUCGGAAAUGGGGGGAACCCUGACCGAGAAACGCCGGGGGAGUGAAGAAGGUUUGCGGAUCGUAAAGCUCUGUUGUUAAGGAAGCGGUACUUAACCAGAAAGGGACGGCUAACUACGUGCCAGCAGCCGCGGUAAUUC